rnacentral:rRNA from 1 species
CAGUCGUACCUGCGGAUAAUCAGCCUUUAGGAUGCGAUUUUGUGGAGCGUGAGGAGCUAAUCGCCUUCAUGCCUAUAUAUUCGUGUACUUGGGGUGUACUUAUUCGUGAGGUAAGUUAACAUCAAUUUUGGUCGUCAUAAAAUGACUGGAGGAAUGUAGCUUCGAUCUCGUAUUGAAGUGUUAUAGCCUUCGGCAGAUGUGAUGAUCGAGAUUGAGGAUUGCAACGGAUACCCUUCGGGGCUACCUGUCUGAUCUCUGAUCGUUGCUCUGGUACCGAAAGCGUGCUUACGGUUAUCAAAGUCGAUGGUCAAC